GACGAACGCUGGCGGCGUGCCUAAUACAUGCAAGUUGAGCGCUGAAGGUUGGUACUUGUACCAACUGGAUGAGCCGCGAACGGGUGAGUAACGCGUGGGGAAUCUGCCUUUGAGCGGGGGACAACAUUUGGAAACGAAUGCUAAUACCGCAUAAAAACUUUAAACACAUGUUUUAAGUUUGAAAGAUGCAAUUGCAUCACUCAAAGAUGAUCCCGCGUUGUAUUAGCUAGUUGGUGAGGUAAAGGCUCACCAAGGCGAUGAUACAUAGCCGACCUGAGAGGGUGAUCGGCCACAUUGGGACUGAGACACGGCCCAAACUCCUACGGGAGGCAGCAGUAGGGAAUCUUCGGCAAUGGACGAAAGUCUGACCGAGCAACGCCGCGUGAGUGAAGAAGGUUUUCGGAUCGUAAAACUCUGUUGGUAGAGAAGAACGUUGGUGAGAGUGGAAAGCUCAUCAAGUGACGGUAACUACCCAGAAAGGGACGGCUAACUACGUG
rnacentral:rRNA from 1 species